AGAGUUUGAUCCUGGCUCAGAAUGAACGUUGGCGGCGUGCCUAACACAUGCAAGUCGAGCGAGAAAGUCCCUUCGGGGACGAGUACAGCGGCGGACGAGUGAGCAACACGUGAGUUAUCUGCCUUUUAGUGAAGAAUACCCUCGAGAAAUCGAGGUUAAUGCUGCAUAAGUUCCUUCGGGAAGAAAAGUGGCUUUAUGCUGCUGCUAAAAGAUGAGCUUGCGCGCUAUCAGCUAGUUGGUGAGGUAAAGGCUCACCAAGGCUAUGACGGCUAGCCGGCCUGAGAGGGUGUACGGCCACGCUGGAACUGAGAUACGGUCCAGACUCCUACGGGAGGCAGCAGUGGGGAAUCUUGCGCAAUGGGCGAAAGCCUGACGCAGCGACGCCGCGUGGAGGAUGAAGGUCUUAGGAUUGUAAACUCCUGUCAGGUGGGAAGAAAGAACAAUCUCUAAUACAGAUUGGUGAUGACGGUACCGCCAAAGGAAGCACCGGCUAACUUCGUGCCAGCAGCCGCGGUAAUACGAAGGGUGCAAACGUUAUUCGGAUUUACUGGGCGUAAAGGGUGUGUAGGUGGCAUAUUGUGUCUGUUGUUAAAGACUCCGGCUUACCUGGAGAAGUGCAGCGGAAACUAAUGUGCUAGAGGAUGGAAGAGAGGAGUGGAAUUCCCGGAGUAGCGGUAAAAUGCGUAGAUCUCGGGAGGAACACCAAUGGCGAAGGCAGCUCCUUGGUCCAUACCUGACGCUGAGACACGAAAGCGUGGGGAGCAAACAGGAUUAGAUACCCUGGUAGUCCACGCUGUAAACGAUAAU
rnacentral:rRNA from 1 species